GACGAACGCUGGCGGCGUGCCUAAUACAUGCAAGUUGAGCGCUGAAGGUUGGUACUUGUACCAACUGGAUGAGCAGCGAACGGGUGAGUAACGCGUGGGGAAUCUGCCUUUGAGCGGGGGACAACAUUUGGAAACGAAUGCUAAUACCGCAUAAAAACUUUAAACACAAGUUUUAAGUUUGAAAGAUGCAAUUGCAUCACUCAAAGAUGAUCCCGCGUUGUAUUGGCUAGUUGGUGAGGUAAAGGCUCACCAAGGCGAUGAUACAUAGCCGACCUGAGAGGGUGAUCGGCCACAUUGGGACUGAGACACGGCCCAAACUCCUACGGGAGGCAGCAGUAGGGAAUCUUCGGCAAUGGACGAAAGUCUGACCAAGCAACGCCGCGUGAGUGAAGAAGGUUUUCGGAUCGUAAAACUCUGUUGGUAGAGAAGAACGUUGGUGAGAGUGGAAAGCUCAUCAAGUGACGGUAACUACCCAGAAAGGGACGGCUAACUACGUG
rnacentral:rRNA from 1 species